AGAACGAACGCUGGCGGCAUGCCUAAUACAUGCAAGUCGAACGAGCUCUUCGGAGUUAGUGGCGCACGGGUGCGUAACGCGUGGGAAUCUGCCCCUUGGUUCGGAAUAACAGUUGGAAACGACUGCUAAUACCGGAUGAUGACGAAAGUCCAAAGAUUUAUCGCCAAGGGAUGAGCCCGCGUAGGAUUAGCUAGUUGGUGAGGUAAAGGCUCACCAAGGCAACGAUCCUUAGCUGGUCUGAGAGGAUGAUCAGCCACACUGGGACUGAGACACGGCCCAGACCUCCGUACGGGAGCAGCAGUAGGGAUAGUGGACAAGU
rnacentral:rRNA from 1 species